AUUGAACGCUGGCGGCAGGCUUAACACAUGCAAGUCGAGCGGAGAGAGGUAGCUUGCUACUGAUCUUAGCGGCGGACGGGUGAGUAAUGCUUAGGAAUCUGCCUAUUAGUGGGGGACAACAUUCCGAAAGGAAUGCUAAUACCGCAUACGUCCUACGGGAGAAAGCAGGGGAUCUUCGGACCUUGCGCUAAUAGAUGAGCCUAAGUCGGAUUAGCUAGUUGGUGGGGUAAAGGCCUACCAAGGCGACGAUCUGUAGCGGGUCUGAGAGGAUGAUCCGCCACACUGGGACUGAGACACGGCCCAGACUCCUACGGGAGGCAGCUGUGGGGAAUAUUGGACAAUGGGGGGAACCCUGAUCCAGCCAUGCCGCGUGUGUGAAGAAGGCCUUAUGGUUGUAAAGCACUUUAAGCGAGGAGGAGGCUACUUUAGUUAAUACCUAGAGAUAGUGGACGUUACUCGCAGAAUAAGCACCGGCUAACUCUGUGCCAGCCGCCGCCGUAACAC
rnacentral:rRNA from 1 species